ensembl:lncRNA
CUUCAGUCAUCAAGAAAUUGUUGCCAUAUGUCCUAUGAGGAAGCCUUCAUUUUUCAGAGCAGCAGGACAGGGGAAUUUUGCUCAGGUUAGAGACCUGAGAAGAAGUGAUCAUGGAGCCCCGCACCAGCCAGCACUGAGCAUAAAAGUACUUCACUGAGACUUAACUUUGCUAGUUACGUCUUGAUGUCCCAUCUGAUAAGAGGCCCUCUGCAACCAUCCGGGCCUCGUCCAACACAUAUUCAUGAGAGGUCAUUAUAAUGUAGUCCCCUCCACAACACACACAAAACCUUAAUGAGUAACAGUUGGGCACAGUAGCAAGUAGAGUUUCUGAGAGCUACUUCAAGUGAUGCACAAACAAAAAUAUGCUCUCUCUCCAUGAUUCCCAGAACUGAUAUUUGUAGUGACAGUAAAUUUAACCUGUUUCUAGAAUACAUCAGACUUGUGGGGCAUAUCUGAAACAGGGCCAUGAAAAUGUAAGUUGCCUGAAUGAAGUGUUUCAUCUCAUGUUUUAAAUUGGUAGCAGCUACCUUUGUUUGAAGAGUGAGAUACAUGUCUGCAUAUAACAAAACCAGUUCACAACACCAGCUUGCUCUGCUCUUACAGAGAUCAAAGUACCGUAACAUCAUUUCAUAACAUUUUGCCUACAUAGCUUUCAUGUGGUGAGCAAAUCUGCGUGACACAUUACUUCUUGAUUUACUUCAUCCUGUUCUUAAUUUUGACAUUUUUAUUUAGCUUUAUGAUCGCGUUUGCUUUGAACAGGGAGUAGUGAGCACAAAAGAUUUCAUAGCAACACUGGCUCUGUCUCCUCCUCUUGUUUAAAUAUGAAGUACAAUUACAACAUUGAGAAAACAACGAAGAGCUUAACUGUUCUCAGUUUCCAUUUGAAAGUACCAUACUAUAAUGAAAUUCCAUGACAAAAAUGCAGAACAGCCAAAAGAUUUAAAAACACAUCAUUACUUUGUGAAACCAAUCCCCAGAAGAUGACAGCCAUGCUAAAGGUACGUAAGCAUCAGCAACAGUAGACAUAAUUUACAAUCACAAGGGAUAUAAAUCUUCAAGCUCUGGACUUCCAGUUCUUAAACUAAGUCACUGUUAGCUGUUCUGUGCAAGAAAUGUGUGUGCAUGAUGUGUAGUUUGCUUUUCAGGUUUUUUGCACUUUUUAAUGAACUACUCUGCUGCCAUCAGAGAGGACGUGAGAACACUGAUCCGAUUCCCAGGCACAGUGAAGGUGCUUCGUUGCUUCCUAACUAUACCCAUUUCUAUUACAGAACAACUGUGACACAGUGAAGAAAUACUGACUUUGAGAUCCUGCAGUUCAUGACGUUACAGGGGACUCCUGAAGCUGAAUGGAGCACUGUUCCUGUAAUGCUCCAGUCGGGCGAAUGCUAUGAAUCGUAUGAUUGAUGGUUCUGGGGGCUGCACUCCCUGCUGCUUUAAACAGGAAGCUCUUCUAGGAUCAUUUCAGCUCAGCAAACGAGGCCACUUCCUUAACAAUACAAUAACAGGAAUUUGAUCAGAAACUUCAAAAUUCGGUUGUAGAAGAUUUACAUCGCCAGUAUAACAGACGAUUCUGCUGGAAAUACUUCUAAGAGCUUUUCUCAUCCCUGUGUGAUUCACCAAGAGAAUAGGAGUUUUAGACACACGUUGUUCAGAUGUAUGUGGCUCAAGAG